CCGAGAAUUUUUCACAAUGGGCGCAAGCCUGAUGGAGCGACGCCGCGUGGGGGAUGAAGGGUUUCGAUCCGUAAACCCCUGUCAUUUGCGAACAAACCUUGAUCGUGAAUAGCGAUCGAGCUGAUUGUAGCGGAAGAGGAAGGGACGGCUAACUCUGUGCCAGCAGCCGCGGUAAUACAGAGGUCCCAAGCGUUGUUCGGAUUCACUGGGCGUAAAGGGUGCGUAGGUGGUCGGUGAAGUUCGGUGUGAAAGCUCGGAGCUCAACUCCGAAACGGCAUUGAAAACUCAUCGGCUGGAGGGUCGGAGGGGAGACUGGAAUUCUCGGUGUAGCAGUGAGAUGCGUAGAUAUCGAGAGGAACACCAGUGGCGAAGGCGAGUCUCUGGACGACUCCUGACACUGAGGCACGAAAGCCAGGGGAGCAAACAG
rnacentral:rRNA from 1 species